rnacentral:lncRNA from 1 species
GAGUUGGAUCGGCCUUACUUGGUCCGAUCCGUCGCCCUCGCAUGUUGUGGGGCUCGGUCCCGUCCCGUUCGGUGAAAUCUUUGUCCGCUCUGGUGCGUCCCUGUGGGUUCCUUUGUCGGUUUUGCGGGCUCGGCGCCGGGCCUUCCGCGCCGGUCCGUCGGCUCGCUCGGACGGACCGUGCGCAGGUGGUCCCCGACGGAGCCGGCAAGCUCCUUCCGCUGGCGCG